CGGAUAUACGCUUCUACAUGAAAAGACCUGAAGAGGCUGUUUAGCGCAUAUCACAGCAUGAGCAGCUGUCUUCUUUAAUGCUUUUAAAAUUAGAAUCCCAAAGAGGAAGAAAAAAUUAUGGUUGCAAUGAUUGCUCUUCGCUUUGGUAGUUGGCAUUUUAAAAAUGAAGCAUGGUUAAAGGUCAAGGAAUGGCUGUGCCAAUGGAUGACUAUAGGCAAGUCAAGAAAUGAGUUUGUUGAGCUUUGGCAGUCGAGGAAAUCUGUGUGGAAUCGGGACCCAUCCUGGAUACUCUGACUCUGGCAUCUAUUGCCGUCCGGUGGAGACGGCUGCGCAGACCUCAUAGCACCAGCCUUCGCCAUUGAGGAAGGUUCACGAAAGGUGUGGGUGUUGACAGACAGCGGCAUUGAGAACAGAUGAGACAACUAAGGAGAGAGAUGUAAAGAGUUAACGCAACAUGACGCAGGUGCAACUCAUCAUCAAGAAGAUGGAGCUGCUUCCCAAGUUGCGCAAAAGAGACGUCCCCCCCCCCUCAAAUUAUCUGCACGAAUCAGAUCAAAAUCCUGCAGACUUUCAAGUAUUUUAACUCAAAAUUGGUAACGGUCUAAAUGGUGCCUUUUCUCAGUGGCUAUACACGUGGGGAGAGAAAAAUAGUAGCUCCAGGAGUAUGCCUUGGAAGGGAGUAAAGAAAGGCCAGACACAGUUCAAGGUUAUAGCUGAACACAACGGCACUGAUGAGAAUUUGGACAGGUAAUACCCUCUCUUGAGAAAUUGUGAAUGUGAAGGAUCCUGGAGAAGAAUGUUGAAGUAUGAUAGCGUUAGAGUUUAAAUGCUCUCAAAGAAUCUUGCUGGCUCGUUGCACAAAGAAAAGUGAUAUUUUAAUCACGAGCUAUCUAUCAUCACUUGAAUUUGAAGGCCCGUUUUGAAGUCACAAGCUACUGAUUCCCAUGAUGUAAGUUUUUAGGUCUCUUGCCGGAACAAAAAAGGUAUGAAAACGGGGGAGGCGGGUAGGGGGCUGGGGGGAGCACAAAGAAGCCAAAUGGCCACAGACCCGACAGAGAGAAGAUACUGUGUCUGUCUGUCUGCAACGCUGUCUCCUUUAAAUUUUGUUCAAGAAGAAAGAAUAAUUGAAUGGCGAGUUUCUCGGACUCUUCCCUCUGGAGAAAAUGGCAAUAUAUGAGAGACGAGAGAGAAUGUACUUAAAAAUACACUAUUGAGGAGUACAAGCCCCAUUGCUAUCAUAAGACAAACACAUUUGAUUCUUCAGUCCGUAAGUUUUCGAGCUCACAUACACAUUAUAGGAAAGAAUACCCAGGGACCCAAAACAAAAUUCUGUUUAAAGUGCAGGCACCAAACUAGGAGACGGCUGAGCUCUCGUGUUAGACGAAGAGUCUAAUGCGAAAGGGCACUUCUGAUGAUGAUCCUGAAUUAUCUCCCAUCUCUCCUGUUCUGACGUGUACUUCUCUUAGACAUAUAGCUGAUAGACUCAAGGGGCCCCUUAAUAAUUCCUUGGAGGGCUGCACAUAGUUUUCUAUCCGCUUGGCACUGGGUGCUCAGAGUGGAGGUUUUAUUGAUUUUUCCAAAAGUGAAAAAAAAAGUUACCUAACUUAGGACUGACAUGAUCUUGUUUUACCCUAUUUCAUUACAUGAGAAAAUUGUAGUUUUUUUUUUUUUUUUUUUUUUACUCUCUCAAAUGCCCAGGAGCCCAGGCUUAAGGAGGGGAAACAGUUCAGACUCUUCAAAUAAAAUAAAAGUAAGACAGAAGAGCCGAGAGCUUCUCUUGUCACAUUUCUACAAUUUCCGGCUUUCAAGCCGCCACUUACAAGCCACUUCUUGACAUAAUCUUUAGGCUUAAGCAUGUGGAACAGUGGACCAACCAGCUUAAUAAAAAGACAAAGAUGAUAUGCAACUAAUGGACAGGGCAUCGCAACUAGGUGUUAACACAUCAUUCAUUGAACUAAAUGCUCUUUCAAACUCUGCAGCAGAAACAAUUAAAGUACUGACGGCAGUCUUAAGUUGCUUCAAAUUGUCUGGCACAAUUGAUCCACAAUUAUCUUUGUACUCCCCGAAGCCCCCGAAUGCUACCUUCUUCAUUGACUUUAAAUUUCCUUCACAGUUCUCCAACCUGUGUUCUGGCAUACUGAAUAUCCGACAAACUGACUAUCCAUGGGAGAAGGCCAUUUUGAUAAUCUUGGAAUCCUGAAUACCCCAUUAAAAAUCCGAGCUGUAUGCCCCUUGAAUGCUUAUAACCAGCUCUUCAUAACAAACAAGAAAUCUUGCUGAACAUUUAAAGAUGAGAGGAGUUAAACUUUAAGACAAAAGAAAGAGAUAAGCUGUUUUUCCAUUAGUUUCAUAACACAACUUGUUAGGGAAAUUCUGUGAGACAGAAUUUAUGGCAAAGAGGCGAAUUCUAUUUCCAAAGUUUUAACUUUAAACUGACCCAUGUCUGGUAUGGUCAAGGAAUUUUGUUCGCUAUUUUUGCAUCCUUGGGCCAAGACUCUGAUGGCCAAUACAAACACUGUUAAUGAAACUUCAUUUACAUGGCUCUUUGGACCUCUCUUUGUUAAAAAGAAAACUCUUAAGUGGCUGAUUCAUCAGGAUUGCUGUGAAAAGCCUCUGAAAUACAACCAGAUGUGCUUUGUUUCCAAGGUGUUGUGAAAAGGAAUUUGUUUUGGGACACAGGCAGAGAUGUGUUCAUUAACACUAUCUUCUACAAAUAAAUAUCUUUCUAAUUUUUUUUUUUUACUUUAAUCUCCUCCCCCUCCCCCUUUGUUGUUGGUGUCUGGUAGAAAAUUGUGCACAGUUAUGUGAGUGAAAAACCUUGAAGAUGGAGAGAAUCAGGUGUCUACUGUGAAUAACGGUGCUGUCGCCCUCAGAGGGACACAGUAUUUGAUCCCAACUGAAAAGUCAUUUUUAGCUGUCAUGUGAAGGUCUGCAGUGGGGUAUAGGCAGUGGACUCAAGAUCACUGAUAUAAUUUAGUCACGCAAACAAGACGAUCCAUGGAUUAUCUUUUGAUCUAAACUUGUACAUUUGAUUUUUUUCUCAAUUAGGUUCAUUCUGAUAUAGAAAUAAAUGGUGAAGAGUAUUUUAGCUGGAACCAACAUUGCCAAGGUUCUUGGACUUCACAAAAGUAAAGGCUAAACAGUGAUGAGGGUAUCAGUGUCAUCAUGGAAUAAAAAAGAAAAACAACUUUUAUUUGUGCAGUAUGUGAGGAAUCCUCAUCAGGAUCUCAUAUUUGCUAUCUUAGUUCAGCUUUUCUAAUAAUGCUGUGGAGAUCUCUGCAUGGAUUUCCAUGUAUCGUUUUAAAAAUGUUUAUUAAAAUUGCUACUUGAUACGAUUUUAUUAUUUCAUACUGUCGAAACUUCUGUCCUCUCUGAAUAAUAAUUCACAUGGUCUAUCGAAUAUAUAUGUGAUGAUAAUAAGUCUAUAUAUAUCAUACAUUCCCUAAUUCUUUGAUGCUUUGCUUGUGGCUUGGGGGAAAUGUUAAUAUUACAGAAGGUGUAGUUUCAGGAAAUAAGUACAAUACUGUUAACAAACAUAUUAAUAUGUAAUAUUGGAAGCCUCACUCCCACACAUAAUCUCUCUUCACCUGCUUACUUUUUUUUUCCCUUUGCACUUAUAACAUUAAGUACCAGCUAAUCGACUUGUUUGAUUGUAUUUUCUGUUCACUGUCUGUUUCCCUUCACUGGAAUAUAAACUCCAUGAAGGCAGGAGGCUUUGAUUUAUUCACUGGUAUAACCUCAGCACCUUGAAUGGUACCUGUCACAUAGCAGCUGUUUAACAGAUGUUUGUUAACGAUUUCACUAGUCAUAGAAAAGGGUAGUACAAACACUGAAUGCAGUUUUCAUUCUAUAAUUCCUUGAUUCUAUCUUUCCCAAUAAGUUAAUGAUGGCCCCACAGUCUAUGUUUACUAAUCACCCUAGGGAAUAUGGCUAAAGGUGUUAAGUAUUAAUUGCUUCAAACACAGUGGGAGGUAUACAUCACUGGAGAAUGUUUAAGUCUUGUUUAAGGUCUUAUACAAGAAGCACUGCUUUUCAUGUAUUCAACAUUUGAGAUAUCGUCAUCGGAAAAGGGAAGGCACAUUUUGGGAAAUGCAGUGACUACUUCUGGAAUUCAAUAAUUUAACUGCGUAUGGUUCCCCCUUCAAAAGUAAAUUCUAUACAGCUAUUACUUUCAUUAAGAUAAAUACAGAUUCAUAUUCAUUCUCAUUCACUCUUUCUCCCUCUCUCUCUCUUACUCACACACAAAGGAUGGAGGAGAAAGAACGGUCAGAAAGACCCUGAUAUAAAUGUAUAAAUGCAAAGAGGAAGGAGCUAAAGUCCUGGAUUGUAGUUUUAGUUCGCUAGUACCCAGGCAAGUGAUCUUGGCCCUUAAUUUCUCUUUGAAGAUUGUUUUGUCAUUGAUUAAACAGUUAAGAUCCUAUCCCUCUCUAACAAGUCUGUAAGCCCACAAAUGGAAGAUAGGAAAAAAGUGGGAAAAGAAAGUUAACUUGUGUAAGUGAUUCUGAUAGCCUUUCAAUUUUUGAUGGAUUAAAAAAUCACUAAUUCCCAUAUUGCUUUAUCACUUCCCAUUCUUUAUACCUAGAACAUUAUUAUCAUUAUUUAGAGACAACAGAGUUCACAUCUGGUCCCCCAACUCAGAGCAUUGCCUUUGGUGAACAAUUCUGUUGCCUAUAUAAUUAAUCAGAGGAAAUUUCAAAAUAGUUGAUACCAUCAAUCUCUUUGCCAGCAUAUCUGACAGCUUAUUUUAUCAUGCCCUUGGAAUGAUGCCAGAUAGCAAGAACUAGUAACUUCAGGCAAACCUUGUCCUAACACCUGCUUUGUUACCUACCUUGCUGGAUACACGUGGUUCACCAGAAACAAGCCAGUAUAGAGAAUUUCAUUAAGUUACUUCUGUAUCUUUAAUCAACUCUCCCUAGCUUCUUGGAAGGAAUUCAUCCCUACUUGUCACAAGUGGACCAGGUAGCAGCUCCCCUACAGUAAAGGAAAGACUUUUCCCUACUGUAUUAGAACCUCCUGUAUGUUGGCUACUCUGAAGAGUGGUCUUACCUAUCAUGUUUAUACCUAUGGCUUUCUGCUCAGAAAUUAAAAUAAGCUGGUGAUGACUGGGAAAACUUAGGUUGAUUUAUAUAUUUUUAAUUAGUCAAGACCAACAAGAUGAUUAUAUUAUUCCCAUUUAAAAAUUUAAGUAAUCAAAGCAGAGCAAGUGCCAGGGUCACCAAAUUAGGCCCCUGCUAAGACCAAGAUUACAAUACAAGAGUUCUUGGUACGUUAUGUUUCCAAUUAUAUAAAAGGUUCUCUUGCACUAAGACAGAUCCUACACAGUCAAAUAGAAAACACACUGGAUUGGAAAUCAAAUAAUAUGGAUUUUACCACGAAUUUACUAUAACACCACAGGUAGUUAUCCCAGUUGUGACUUCAUUCAUUCAAUAUUAAUUUAUGUAAUAAACAAAUACCCAAUCUGUGCACGCAUACACGCAUGAAAGAGGCAGAAAGUAGUUUCAAGGUGACAAAUUGACAAGAGAGUGUAUAAACCACAUGUACAAUGCUGAGGGGAUUCAGAGGAAUUGAUCUUAAGGGGCUCUGCUAGGCUGACUGGUUUUGACACCUGGUCCUUCCAUUCAAACUGACGAUGACAUAAUUCACCAAAUUAUAAGGUUGUUUUGGACCUGUGAAAAUACAGCUUCAAACGUUUUUCUGGUCUAUCAAUUUUCCUGUGUUUGAAAUAGAAUGAUGACUACUCUAAUUAAUAAAAUGAAAAUAAACUAUGUAGUUCUUCUCAAAUGCUGUGGAAUAGUCUAUGCCAGUGAUUCUCCUUAUUUUCUAUGUCAAGGACCCUUUGAGAAUCUUAUAAAAGCUAAAAAAAACCUCACCUCCAAUCAUAAAAAAUAGGUGAACACAAAAUUUUGUAUCAAUUUCAGGGAUUCAGAAGGUCCCCAAAUCCUAUCCCUGGAUCUCGGGUUAGAAAUCUGUGUCCUAAACCAAAAGGCGACACAGCUUCAGGAGAACAUCCUCGUUUGCUGCGAUGAUCUUGAUUCUAGCUCCACAAUCCAUUUAUUCCACAGAUAUUAUUAAGCAUCUAAGAUGUGCCACAUGCUGUUCCAGGUGAUGCGAUGUCUCAGAGAACAAAACAGACAAAGUUUCUUGACCUCAGCAGGGCGGAAAACAGACAAUAAACAAAAGCAAUAACUAAAUUAUAUGGCAUGCCAG